UUUAUUAAGAACGGUGGAGGGACUGGCCCUGAGAAACCUAGCAACCUGUUGAUAGUUACAAGUUAACAGUUAGAAGUUAGUAGUUAGUAUAAAAAUUAUUUUAAUUUUUAUAUUUUAGAAAUUCGGUAGAAUUUGAUCAAUAACUAGUAAUCAAUAACUAAAACUAAAAAUUAUUAAUGCUGGUGCUAAAUCCUGCAGGUUUAACCUGAGAAAUGAGA
rnacentral:ncRNA from 1 species